rnacentral:rRNA from 1 species
AUGCUUGUUGAUGAAGAGCUUUUUUUGUUACAACAGUCCCAUGAGACAUGGCUGUUAAAAGGGGAUCAAAACACUUCAUUUUUUCAUAGGAUUGCCAAUGGAAGGAAAAGAAAAAACACAAUUCACUCUUUCUCCAGUGGAGAGGAGAUGAUCGAGGGUACUGAAAACUUAUUAAAACAUGCUACAGAUUACUAUAAGGAGCUCUUUGGGGCAGCUCCGGGUAAUCUUUUCCAUCUUAAUCCUAAUUCUUGGGGAGAGGAUGAAAAACUUACUGAUUCAGACAAUGAUUUCCUUACUCGUCCUUUUAGUGAGGAAGAAGUUAAAGCGGCCCUCUUCUCUAUGGAUAGCAAUCGUGCUCCAGGCCCGGAUAACAUACCAGCAGAAUUCUAUAGAUUCUGUUGGGAGAUUGUUAAGUAUGAUAUCAUGAACCUAUUCGUGGCCUUCCAUGAAGGCACCUUGGAUGUAGAGAGGCUAAACUACGGUAUCAUCACUCUCAUUCCCAAAAUUAGUGGAGCGAAGAAGAUACAAGAAUUCCGCCUAUCUGCCUCCUCUGUUGCCCUUACAAGCUGA